AUUGAACGCUAGCGGGAUGCAUUACACAUGCAAGUCGAACGGAGUGGCGAACGGGUGAGUAAUGUAUCGGAACGUGCCCAGUAGCGGGGGAUAACUACGCGAAAGCGUAGCUAAUACCGACUAAUCUUAGAGCGGACGAUAUCGGAUUAGCUAGUUGGUGGGGUAAAGGCUCAGCAAGGAGACGAGCCGUAGCUGGUUUGAGAGGAAGACCAGCCAAACUGGGACUGAGAAACGGCCCAUACUCCGACGGGAGGCAGCAGUGGGGAAUUGUGGACAAUGUGGGAAACCCUGAGCCAGCCCUCCCGCGUGUGCGAUGAAGGCCUUCGGGUUGUAAAGCACUUUUGGCAGGAAAGCGGUACCUGCAGAAUAAGCACCGGCUAACUACGUGCCAGCCGCCGCGGUAAUAC
rnacentral:rRNA from 1 species